rnacentral:lncRNA from 1 species
CUUCCCUUUCAUGAAUGUAACCUACCGAAUUAGACUAUUUACCGGAUUUGUUAUAAUAUAAGCAACAUGACGGGUGCCACAUGUGGAGCAGGAUCUGCUUACCCUCCGGAGCACCUGAGAUCACCCCUAAUUUUUUUAUUUUUUUUGGUGGCUUUCGUGUUGUUUAUUCUUUAGUUUUCUAUGUUGUGUCAUGUGUGCUGUUGUUUGUUUGUCUUUUUCAUUUUUAGCCAUGGUGUUGUCAGUUUGUUUUAGAUUUGUGAGUUUGACUGUUCCUUUGGUAUCUUUCGUCCCUCUUUUAUAACGAUAUAUUUUUUGCAUCAUACCAUAUCGGUAAUUUGAUUUAAAAAAAUUACCAAUCUGCUGAUAAAGUACAACUUUCUUAAUGUACCUUCUUGUGCCUCAAUUAACGCUUAAUGUCACUGUCAUUUUUUCCAUAUCAAUACACUGGAAUUGGAAAUGUACAUUAAAAGAAUACAAUAAAGAUCAUUUUCUGCGGCAAUCGCAAACAAAAUUACCAUUCUUCUGAUAAAGUACAUUCAAAGAAUAUCCCAAAGUCCCCUUAUUGCGCCUCAACUUGCAUCUCCAAGAACUAUAUAUCACGGCCAUUUUUCUCCAUAUCAAUACACUGGAAUUGGAAAUGUACAUUAAAAGAAUAAAAUAAAGAUCAUCUUCUGCGGCAAUUGUAUAAUGACGCCUUGUUGUCUGACACUAGAUUUAUUGACUGUUCAACAUUAUCAUGAUCGGGACCAUAAUCACUUUUUUAGCUACAGCCAACUGUCAUGGCUGUGAGAGAAUCAAUGUUUAUUGUUCUCUAGAGCUGUU